GGCCAGACUCCUACGGGAGGCAGCAGUGGGGAAUAUUGGGCAAUGGGGGAAACCCUGACCCAGCGACGCCGCGUGAGGGAAGAAGGUUUUCGGAUUGUAAACCUCUGUCCUUGGUGACGAUAAUGACGGUAGCCAAGGAGGAAGCCACGGCUAACUACGUGCCAGCAGCCGCGGUCAUACGUAGGAUCCGAGCAUUAUCCGGAGUGACUGGGUGUAAAGAGUUGCGUAGGUGGCAUAAUAAGUAGCUAGUGAAAUCUGGUGGCUCAACCAUUCAGACUAUUAGCUAAACUGUUAAGCUCGAGACCGUUAGGGGUAACUGGAAUUUCUAGUGUAGGAGUGAAAUCCGUAGAUAUUAGAAGGAACACCAAUAGCGUAGGCAGGUUACUGGGACGGUUCUGACACUAAGGCACGAAAGCGUAGGGAGCAAACGGGAUUAGAUACCCGGGUACA
rnacentral:rRNA from 1 species